rnacentral:rRNA from 1 species
ACGGGGCCCGCGCAAGCGGUGGAGCAUGUGGUUUAAUUCGAUGAUACGCGAGGAACCUUACCUGGGCUCAAAUGUAUGUUGACGUAUUCUGAAAGGGAUACUUCUUCGGACAAUAUACAAGGUGCUGCAUGGUUGUCGUCAGCUCGUGCCGUGAGGUGUCGGGUUAAGUCCCAUAACGAGCGCAACCCCUAUCAUUAGUUGCCAUCAGGUCAAGCUGGGGACUCUAAUGAAACUGCCUACGCAAGUAGUGAGGAAGGUGGGGAUGACGUCAAAUCAGCACGGCCCUUACGUCCAGGGCUACACACGUGCUACAAUGGCCGGUACAAAGGGCAGCUACCUGGUGACAGGAUGCUAAUCUCAAAAGCCGGUCUCAGUUCGGAUCGGAGUCUGCAACCCGACUCCGCGAAGCUGGAAUCGCUAGUAAUCGCGCAUCAGCCAUGGCGCGGUGAAUACGUUCCCGGGCCUU